rnacentral:rRNA from 1 species
GACGAACGCUGGCGGCGUGCUUAACACAUGCAAGUCGAGCGAGGCUCCUCCUUCGGGAGGAUGUCCUAGCGGCGAACGGGUGAGUAACACGUGGGCAACCUGCCCCUAGCACUGGGAUAACCCCGGGAAACCGGAGCUAAUACCGGAUACGACCACAGUUGGCAUCAACAUGUGGUGGAAAGAUUCAUCGGCUAGGGAUGGGCCCGCGGCCUAUCAGCUUGUUGGUGGGGAGUGGCCCACCAAGGCGACGACGGGUAGCCGGCCUGAGAGGGCGACCGGCCACACUGGGACUGAGACACGGCCCAGACUCCUACGGGAGGCAGCAGUGGGGAAUAUUGCUCAAUGGGCGCAAGCCUGAAGCAGCGACGCCGCGUGAGGGAUGAAGGCCU